AGAAAUUGAGUGCAGCGCUGGUGGGC
rnacentral:piRNA from 1 species